GUGUGCCGUCAGUGUGACUCUGGACUGCGAGGGCGCGGCUCUUCAUGCCUGUGUGAAGAGAGUAGAAGUGCUGCUGUGAAGGAGUGUUUGGGGCCACGGGUAUCCCUCAUCGGACGCUGAAUCCAGAAGAGGAAAAAAUGGCUGUUAUACAUUCAAAAGCAAAGUCCAAGUUUGUUUGUUCCAGAAACAGAGUUUUCUUAUAAAGUUACCCAUAUUGUGGAUUUUGUUGGUUGCUUAUGUGUUG